GGACAGACAUAGGCUGCAGAAGAAGAAGAAGAAGUCACCGAAAGCAGAUGGCAGUACUUUUGCCACUCUGGUUUACCAGUUUGCUUCCCCCUUCGUGUACGCAACUCUGCGCUCCGCACUCACUGGUGUUACACGGCUUCCUGUACUCAUCCACUGUGGUGCUCAGGGCCACAGCACGAAGUAAUAACACCUGAUGAUGGGCAUGUAAAAGCUCAAAACUGGUCAGUUUUAACCACUGAAAAAUAAAGGGAACUUUACAAUGGAAUUGGUGUUUUCAACCUCUGCUAUGUUUAUUUGUUUUGUUAUCAGAAUGGGACAAAAUCCCUGUUUUAACCACAAAUCCAUAUUUGUGAUUUAGGUGGUCAAAAACUUUUGGCCUGUAGUGUAGCUCCUCAGUUGCCCAUUGGCCUCAUGAGGCAGAGUGCACCCCGUAUUAGUCCUUCCAUCAAGAAAAAAAUCCCUGGCAGUACUGGGAUUUGAACCUGGGUCCCCCUCAUUGCAGUCAGCCAAGCUGAUCAUUCAGCCAUGGACUCAGAUUAUCUUAGAAUAGUCUUCAGUGAACUGAAAAAGUAACUGGUUUGCGUGGCUUUUUGAUAACUGUGUGCAUCAUUUUGUUUCACUAGGUACUUCGACGAAAGGUGGUACAGCUCGAAAUAUCUUACACAUUUAACAAACAUAGAAAUGUUGGAAAAUUUUGAACCCACUUAUUUUCUUGCAUACAAUUCCUUGUAGCUUUGAUCUGCCAUUUAUGAAGUUAAGAUCUGAAAGUUGAAAAAAAUCCUUACAUGAGCUUUAAAUGUGUGAUAAUUUUAGAUAAUGCUUAUAUUUAUAAUUAUGUAGUCUAAUUUAAAUGGAUGGUCCAAAGAAUUAGAAUCUACAAGACACACACACACACACACACACACACACACACACACACACACACACACACACACACAAAGAUUGAAUUAUUAAAAAAUUUUGGAGCCAGUGGCUCCUUCUUCUGGCAGAAGAGUUGAAAGGGAAGGAAGGGGGAUGAAGGAAACGAACUAGAGUGGUUUAGGGAAGAGAGUAGUUCAGAAAAGUCAACCUAGACAUUGGGUCAGGGGAGACUUACUGGACAGGAUGACAAGGAAAGACAUUGUUGGGGAAUACACUCAUCUGGUGCAGUCACCAACAGUCUCUUUCCUUCUAAUACCGUCCAGUAACUCUCCCCUGACCCAUGGUUCUGGCUGACUUUUCUGAACUGUACCCCAUACCGUAAGCCUCUCCAGUCCUUUUCCUUCACCCCUCUUCCUUCCCUUUCACCUCUUCUGCCAGUAGGAGGAACCACUGACUGUGAAAGCUUGUAAUAGUUAAACCCUUUUGUGUGUGUGUGUGUGUGUGUUCAGCUGAAAGUGCUGCCAGUGAAUUUUUAAAAAAAAUAUUAACAGAUGAUUCUAGGCAAACAGAUUGUCAAUGUUAACAAGAUUAUGCCUUAACAAACAUGGUCUAGAGCAAUACAUAUGAAAUUAAAAUGUAUGUUCUGUGCUAAAAAAUUUGGAAGCCACUUCAAAAAUGUAGGAAACACUAUUGAAAAAAUUAUUUCCUGGUUUUUAAUAGGCUUUGUCAGUUAAAUAAAGUGAGCAUUUUGUUAAUGUAAUUGUAUGUAAUUAGAAUCUUACAAUAUAAAUAAAGUUCAGCAGCUGGAUUUCAUUUUGUAUUACUGAAUUUCACAUGUCAGGUAGUCUUAUUUACCUUUUCUCCAUUUGCAUGUAUCAUCUCAUACCAACAAAAGCUUUUCUACAUGUACUCCACUUUUUCUGUAAUUAUGUAGUAUGAAUAGUGAAGAAGGCCCAACAUUUUAUGUUUGUGUCUGAAAAAUUUCCAAUAGCUGUUCAAAGGAAUACAGUCAUAGCUGCAAAUUUAAAUAUCAGUUAUUGCUGUAUGCAGUAAUUCAGUAAGUAUUAUCAAAUGUUUACCAUGCCUUUGUAGUAAGUGCUGUACAUUGGUAAUGACUAGAAAAGCAACUACACCACAAUGACUUUUUGGACAUCCAUGUUUUUCCUAAGUAUGUAGAAUCUUUUCAUUAAAAUGAAAUCAGACCGCAUUAAAAUAGCAUGUACAACUUUGAUUAAUUACAUUAAUCUAUGAGGAAGACUCUUUACA